rnacentral:rRNA from 1 species
CCUACGGGCGGCAGCAGUGGGGAAUAUUGGACAAUGGGGGGAACCCUGAUCCAGCGACGCCGCGUGAGUGAAGAAGUAUUUCGGGAUGUAAAGCUCUAUCAGCAGGGAAGAAAGAAAUGACGGUACCUGACUAAGAAGCCCCGGCUAACUACGUGCCAGCAGCCGCGGGAAUACGUAGGGGGCAAGCGUUAUCCGGAUUUACUGGGUGUAAAGGGAGCGUAGACGGCGAUGCAAGUCUGAAGUGAAAGGCGGGGGCCCAACCCCUGGACUGCUUUGGAAACUGUAUGGCUGGAGUGCAGGAGAGGUAAGUGGAAUUCCUGGUGUAGCGGUGAAAUGCGUAGAUAUUAGGAGGAACUCCAGUGGCGAAGGCGGCUUACUGGACUGUAACUGACGUUGAGGCUCGAAAGCGUGGGGAGCAAACAGGAUUAGAUACCCUUGUAGUC